rnacentral:piRNA from 1 species
UCCAAGUGGCAGUUCCGAUUGGUUGGCGUU